ACACAAUGUUAGAAUUACGUAAAAUAAACUUCUAUACAACCAAAACUUGCGCUGUCGUAACUCUAUUAUAACAUGUGUGUUGCUUGGGUAGUAUCUAGCCGUGUACAAAAUUUCAAGUCAAUUGGUUUGGAAUUAACUGAGUUACAGCGAAGAGUACCCGAAAUACCGGCCGCUGCCCAAGUGGUUCGCUACCCUAUGAAAACACACACAAACAGUGUUACGAAAUGUUCAUAGAAUAUGCUUCUAACGAUCGAUUUACAUUUUCUUAGUUAUGACUAUCAUAACUAAGGACAAGCGCAUCGUUUUUUUUUAUUUACCACGAGGCAAGCUUAUUUGUUAUAACAAAAAUACACCAUACAAGUUUCAAUGAAAAAACUAUGUACAAUUUUAUUCUACAUUGAAUCAUAGGGGCCCACGGUGUGUCUGGUAGAAGAAAUUUAUUACAAAAAAAAUAAGCAUCGCUAAUUUUUACGUUACGUGAAAGUUGACGCUACUAGCUUUCAUACAAGCCCAACAUCGAAAUAUUCCAUCGGGGGAACUUUUUCAUACAAAAAUUGGGUAUGUUUGUUAAGUAGAAAUAGGGAUUAAUUUGGAACCGUUUAUUUUGUAUGGGGAAAAACAGUAUUCUGAAAAAGUUGUUCGAGAACCCUCGGUGGAUUUUUUUGAGGGACCGUGUAAAUGAAAGCUGAAAGCCUCUAUUUUUGAAUAGCGAAAAAUUUGACGAUGCCCAUUUUUUUGUUAUAAACCUUUCCCGUACACACGCCGUGGGCCCUUUAUAAACCACGUGGACUUGUUGGGGGGAGGGGGGUCUGACCAAAGUCUACGCUUCAUACAAAUUUCUUUUUUUAUGGACAAAAUUCUACGAGGAGGAUGGGGGAGGGUUUUCUGAGAUGGCCAAAAUUUGGUCUACGUGGUUUAUGGACAGUCCCAUACUUGAGUUACAGCGAAUUAAAAAAAAAACAAAAAAAUGUACCUUCUUAACCUUCACAUACCCGCCCCCAGAUUUGUCAUAUGGCUAAAAGUGAUUAUUUCGUAUGUUAUUGUGUUUGAGAGUCCCCCGCGGAACUUGUUUCAGGUGUUCCGGAGCGGCCAUAUCAGUUGCUACAUACUUCAGUCAAUUGUUUCCGCCCCAUUCUCUUGAAAUCAUGAAGUUUGUUACGUCGCACGGCAUGUUUUGGUUGCAAACCAGAAAUGUCCCCGAUGUCACCCCCGUGGAACCUAUGCUAGCUGUUCCGGGGUGGACAUAUUAGUUGAUACAGACUUCAGGCUAUUGUUUCUGACUCAGUCAUUCGAAAUCAUGAAGAUUGAUAUGUCGCACGACAUGUUUUGGUUGAAAACCAGAAGUGUUCCCGAAAGAGGCCCCCACGGAACCUGCCACGGUCAUCCAGAUGGGUCAACGUAUUCAAAUCUGAUUAUCGCAGUUGUGAUUUGUAGUUCACAAUGAAAAUUCAGCUGAAAAUUAUUGGUUCAAACACAAUAACACACGAAAUAAUCAUUUUUAGCCCUUUCGGCACCCUCCCUGACCCCAGUACAAUCCGGAAUAUCUCCGAAAUAGUUCCGGUUAUUGCAUGGCCACUUGGAUGUAAUAAACUUGCACCAAUUUAUGAUUGAUUAAGGGUGACUUCAAAAAAAAUGGAUGAAAGUUGAUGAAAUGCCAGCGUUUUAAAAAUAAGAUGUUGGUGGUCGGGUUUGUGAAGGUCAACUAACUGCCAAUAAUUAUUUUGUAUUUAUAGAGAUGAACCAGUCAGAAGGCUGAAAGUCUCUUUAAUAAAGACAAAUCAAUCAAUCAAUAUUUUGUAUUUGUAUAUUAUGUGGCAGGCACGAAGAUAUUCUAUGCCCUAUCUGCAAAAAGUUCCAGGACCGACCGGAAAUCGAAAUCGAUCACGCUGGGUGUGAUUCAUGCUGAAUACUCGUACGCUUACCGCUUCGGCUAUCCACGUUAUAGUGAGGAGUACUGCGAACACAAAGUAUCGCUGAAUGGUAUGCUGUACUGAAAACUGCGAUAUUUUACGGAGUUUCACGGAAUAACAUAGAACGCCCAUGAAUACCAUGUACUUCCGCUGAGUACAGGGUACCAUGAAGUAUCAUGGAGUGCUGGGAAAUAGUAUGGAGUGCCGUGAAAAAUCAUAUAUCUAAAUACCAAUGAGAACUGUGAAAUACCACGGAUUCUUACGGAAUUCCUACUGAGUGUCAUGCCUUGAAAUACCAUGAAGUACCACUGAAUACCUUGGACUUCAGCGUAAUACCAUCGAGUGCUGCGGAACAACUUGGAGUAUUAUUGAAUACCAUUGAUUACCAAAGGAAGUCACUGAAUAUCACGGAUUCCUACGGAAUACCAUGAAGUAUUGCGAAACAGCUUGUAGGUAGUAAAGCGAAUCGUACUUGGGAGUAUUGCUGAAUCGCGCUACGAAGUGCCAUUGAAUACCAUACAAUUUCGUGGAAUAUAGAGUCCAGCGGAAUUCUAUGGAGUACCAAGAAUAGUAUGAAGUACUAUACCAUUGAAUCUCGUAUGCAUUCCAUACAAUACGUUGUAUAAUAUGGAGUAAUAUAAAUAGAAUACCGUGGAAUACUAUUGAUUGCUAACGUGAAAUAGGGUAAGUGUUACAAUUAUGGCUAUAGUACCAGUUAUUCGCCAAGUUGAUUUUCACCCUUUAACGAUGUAAACCAAUAAGAAAAAUUUUUUGAACAAAGAUCACGUUGGCAAAAGAUGGUUGCACUCAUUUAAACUCCACAUACCGUCAAUUCACCAUUCACCGUGGAUCUAAGAAAAUUUGUGGUGAAUACAGGCUGUCGUUUAAUACCAAUCUUAUAAACAUUGUUGGUACCGCUGUUAAUUGCCUUCAUUAUAGGUUAGAAUUUAAGUAAUAACCACAAAAGUAGAAAACUUUUCACAAAAAUUGAUGAUAUAGUACAUUUAGUAGAGGAUGGGAAGGUCGCCUGAUUACGUGGUAGAUCAUUAUUCACCGUGUAUCAGAAGAUUUUUUUCUUUUGUUUUAAAAUGAUCAAAACCACCUAGCAAAGUCAAUUCUCUUCGUUUAUUUUCAUUUUAAGUAAUAACUUGCAAGAUUUAUUUAGAAAAACGAAUUUUAACAUUUUGUUUUUUUUUUCUACUUAUAUGGGGCAACAUGGGUCACGGUGAAUGGAGACCAUUGAUUUUUAGGGUACCCAUUUACCGUGCCCUUUUGUUUCAAUAAAAAAAAAUGAGUGGAAUCGUACUUUCUUGGUAAACUUGCUUCGAUAAUGCAAAAUAGAUACCUGAUAUUUGAAUUUAAUUGCUUCUUGGUGAAAUAAUAUCGUUACUGCAUUUAGUUAAUCGCUCAAAUCACGUAAGCGCAGUUUUCGUUUUUUUUUUACCACGAAUGCAGUGACUGAGCUAAAUAUUGCUUCAUAUAAACACAUUUUAGUAUCAAAAUGGUACUGUAAAAAGUUUCUAACCCGCGUUUUGACAUGGUAACAAUCCAUUAGUGUUGUAUUGGUGAAAUUAAAGUGAAAUUGUCAUACCAUUCCAUUGAUGCAUUGUAAUAUGGAAAUAAUGAAAAAAUAUUCGAAGGUGAAUGGAGCCCCUACGGUGAAUGGCGACUUGACGGUACACCCGAUUCUUUUUUUGCACGGGUCUGGUUUUUGCUAUAACUCAGUCAAUUUUCAACCGAUUCUCAUGAAACUUUGUACACAUGUAGGCACGAUUAGUACUACCAGUGUACAAAAUUUCGUUUUAGCAAAAACCAGACCCGUACAAAAAAAGAAUCGGGUGUAUUGCUCAAAUUAUGGUAGAAAUAAAUCAUUUUCCUUAAAAUUUCGGCUUCCUUGCACCAUUUUUCGCCAUAAUGUACCACUUAUGGCUAAUCCCAUAAGGAAUGCAUGCAAAUAGAGUGAAAAGGAACCGAAGUUAAAAAAUGUAACCAUAACUGGUACAGGAUUCCUAUCAUUGGCACACGCUGUAAUAAAAACUUAAAGUAGUUUUGGGUCCGCUUCUACACACUUCGAAAAAAUCUUGUAAUUUUGUGUCAUAUAAGUACGACAUAUAAAAGCAACACAUUUGACGCAAAAUUGUGUGCGAUCUUAUUUUUACUUGAAACGGAAAAUGUUUGACUCGUGUAAUUUUACCGCAACAGCUCAACGCGUCGGCUGCUUGUAUACAUGAUUGAGAACUGUGAUAUUUAUAGCACCGAAUAUUGAACAAAAAAAUACAAAAAGUUCCAUUCGGGAAUCGAACUUCGAUCCUCAGAGUGUCAGUUUUCGACCUUGCUCUCUCGGCUGACUCACCAUGUUGAAGAGAAGGCAAUCGAAAAUGUACAACUUCUACCAUAAACAAACUUGCCAGUUCGGCCGUCGCGUCGUCACUGUUGCGUGUAUGUUUGUACUGAACUGAGACAGCCGUCAUCGCAGCCAAGCACACAAAGCCGCCUUUUGAUUGACUGAGCGUGGCUGUUUUCGUUUUCCACUGCAUCGGCUGAUGGCAACGGAUUGUCAUUUCCAAGUUUCUGGCUCACUCCGGGGUUGAAUUUAUGAGCGGUUUUCAUGCUGUUUCACCUUCGUAAUAAACAAAUUUCCAAUCGAUUGCAGUCUUCAUCUGAUUUUGUAAGGUGCUGUUUGACAGUUCAACAUCAGUAAACAUUAUGUUUCUGUAACAUAUCGCGUAAAUUUACAGCAUAGAGAACUAAAUUAUCAGUUCUGUGAUUUACAAUUAUGGCUGGAAGAACUCAAACAAUAUCAACUUAAUACGUACGUCAUAAAAAGUGUAAAAAUGUGGCACAUUUAUGUGUAUGUCAUAGCUUUUUCUGGCAGUUCGAUCAAUUGUGUCACUAUUAAAAUUGAGAUUUUUUAGUGUGUAUAUUUUUCCUGUAAAGUAUGGAAACUAAUCUAUCUUUUAACAUUGAUUAACGAUGAUAUUCGUUGGUUUUGUACAAAUAGUUUUCCUAGGUAGUGCCAUAAUUGGUACAGGUACCCUAUACCGUUUGAAAUAUACACGUUUGAAGGGGCAGGGAAAUUUAUCGUGAAUAUGAACCGUAUCAAGGGUAGAAGAGAAACAAAUCCACCACAGUAAGUAACGACAACACAAAGAGAGUGAGAUAAUUGAAGAGCAGGAAAGCAUGGAUCGAAACGAUAUGCGGAGGUUUUAUGCAACUGUUAAUGGUGCAUAGGACAAGGUGAUCACCAUGGGCAUUGGCUGGGUAUAAAAUAUAUUGAUAGACAAAGUGGCGCUUCGAAGAUUUGAUGAAUGAUAAUGCUGAAUUUACUAUGCGCUCAAGUAAAAUUCCUCUUUUUUGCGCAAGUAAUUUUGACAACAGAUCCUAUAUGGGGAGAAAUGUCACAUUCCCUUGUGGAAUAAUGGAACGAAAUAUUUUUCCGCGUGGGAAAGUGACAGCUCCAGUUAAUUUGCACUGGGACCGUUACCGUUUCGUUACACUUUUCAGACUUUCAGAUACAGGAUUUACGGAUUUGGAGAUGAACCAGCCUCGGGCUGAAAAUCUCCCUAAUAAAGCUAAUAAUAACAGGAUUUACAAAGUGGAUGAUAGUUAAGCAGUUAGCCUUGUGGAUAAGGCUUUGGAUCGCCAAUCCGAGGACAGCGGGUUCCGGUCGAGAACUAAGGCAUAAUGUAUUACUGUACUUGCCUCACAAUAUACAAAUUCAUGCAAUGGCAGGCAAAGCAAAAAGUCCUUCACCUGGCAAUCGUUUCACGCAUCAACUCAGUUCUGAAGCCCUACAUUCAAAUGUGAUAUUCAAUAAACUUGUAGAUAAGUGUUUUUCCUACAAUUUUCAGCUAGGAUGGCAUUCUCAAUAAGUUUGCUCAAGCAUUACCAAAUGGUAUUUCUGCACAAAUGCCAGCAGGAAUUCCAACAGCAUUCCAAGAGCAAUUUCAACAGAAAUUCUCUAAGGAAUCUUAAGAGGAUUUCUAGUAAGAAUACGGAGAGAAAUUCAUAAAAGGAUCUUCAGAGGAAUUCAGAAGGAAUCCCAAAAAAUCUCAGGGUGAAUUUCUAGUGGAAUCCAUAGAGAAGUUACAUCAGGGACUGCUGGAUGAAUCCCUUGAAACGAGUAUUGUACGAGUCCUGGUCAGAAUUUUAAGAGAAGUGAUCCGUGAGGAAUUGUUGGAAAAAUUCAGAGUGAGGAAUUCCUGGAAAAAUUCCGAGAGGAAUUCCUGGAAAAAUCCUUGGGAAAAUCUCUAGAGUCUUGAAAUCUAUUGGAAAAUGCCUGUAAAAAUCACAGAAGGCUUCCAUAGAGGAAUUCCUGAAGGCACUCUUGAAGAAAUUCGUGGAGAAAUGCCAAGAAGAACUCGUGGAGGAAUCCAUGGAGAAAAUUUUGGAAAAUACUCUUGGCAUGCCUCCAUAAAUGCCUGAUGAGAAACGCUUUACGAUAUUGCUCCAGAGGCUUCUCCAAGUAUUCCCAAAAAAACUCGCAAAAUGUGAGUGUGUGAGGGAAGUAAAGCGUGGGUCCCGAGAUGAACUAGCCUAGGGCUAAAAAUCUCGUUAAUACAGAUAAAAAAAAGUAUCCCCAUACAAAUCCAUUCUGUGAUUUCUCCAGGGAUUCCCGAGGAGUUCCAGCCAACCUUCCUGGUGCAUUCCACCAAAAAUCUUAUCAAGCUAGAUUCUAAAAUUCUAAAAAAAACUGGAGGAAUACUUGUAGCAGAAAAUUUUGAAGAAUUAUCUGGAGGAAUCACAGAAGGUCCACUUUUUUUUAUUAAAUAGACAGAACCAGAAUUGAUCUUUGAUGAUAUUCUAAGCAGCACGCAUAUUACUAAAAAAUCACGCAGCGCACGGUGUGUUGAAACAGGAUUAUUAUCGCACUUUCAUGAACCUAAAAUAUUUUUUCGUUAUAAGUUAGCCUUAGCUGUAUAUAUUAAGAUUCUGGAGGUUAAAAAAUCUUUCAUCGGGGAAAAUUAAAAUAAAUUCGAUUUCAGUAGUUUUCCACUUUUCCCAUAUGAUGUGGUAGUACGCAAAUCUGAUGAACCUAAACUCCGCUAGAAAAAGUCCUCUUCUAAUAAUACAUUUGAAACCAUUUAGUGAGAAACGAAUGUAAAAGUCUUUACAACGAGUUUAAAUUUGUUUGGCAUUCGUUUCAUGUGCCCAGCCCACUACAGUCUGCCGAAAGUCAUAAAUCAUAGAAGUCUACAUUUCUACCAUUUGUCCGGCACAUAGAUAUUUGCAAUGGAGGUAAACAAAUACUUCCCAUUUGUGCGACUCAUACAUUUGAGGAAGCGCCAUACACCUGUGACUCGUAGCAUUUGCAGCACAUACUCUUCAUGUGCUAAUUUGCCUGAAAUGAAACCAGAUUUAACUAUAUGGGUAAGCCUGGUUUACCGGUUAAUCCGAGAUGAAGAAACAGCCCUUAGAGAAUAGCUUUUGAUUACUCUUUCGGCAAACGCCACUGAUACACGUACUUUAAGGUAAGCAUAUGUAAUCACUUUUUUUAUUGUGAAUUCAAUCAAUGUUUGAUUGAAACAGUUUUAGAUUUGAUGAUGAUGAACCUGGGCAUACAUGUACGUAAACAGAAUAUCGGAUUAAGUACGAGACACUGAAGAUGACCUAACAGUUGAGGUCGAAAUAUGUAUCUAUCAAAUUAUGCAAAAUCGUAGUGCAAUUAAAAGGACGAGUCCUUAGCUCUAUUUUCUUUUUUACUUAAUUUUAGAUAUGUUCAUUCUUGUUCAUCUUGAGAACAAAUUUAACUAAAUCUACAGAUAAAAUGAAAAUUGAAAAUGUAGAACAAUAUUAAGAAGACAUGAAUGUUCUGGGAAUGUCAUAAAAUAUAUUAAAAAAAAAACAACAACAGUGAUGUGUAAAAUGAGGCAAGAUUGACGCAAUUUGAGGUUUCAAUACAACUUUCUAAGAACAUUUAUUAGUUAUUUUAUGCUUCAUUUAGGAAUCAUUGGAUAGAUUUUGAUUCCUAAAUAGUUAUAACACAUAGAAUAUGGUUGAAAGGUAUCGAGUGUACGGGUGCCUUUUUAUUCGUUUUUAUCACAUUUCUCCCCAUACUGAAUCUGUUGUCAAACUCACUUUGCAAAAAUGAAGGGGUUUUAAUUGGGAAAAAGUAAUUUUAUUUUAUGCAGUCAUAACAUUAAAACCAUUAUAUAAACUGCAUGAAGUUUUUAUCAAGACCAAAGUGUCUUAUAAAAUAAAACUACAGAUAACCCAGACGAAGAUAGAAAAAAAAACACUGCACGAGACUACCAUUAUUGAAAUUCAUCAGAUUACUUGCAAAUUGCUAUGUUUCCAAUAUAUUCUAGGCUUAUACUAUAAGAUGUCAUUCACAUUGACAUAUAUUAAGCAUGCGUUGCAUUCGGUAAAUUCUUAAUAAAAACAUGUGAUGUUUUGAAAAAGAUUUCAAUACAAUUUCUAUAAUUAUUCUUGUCCAAAUGAUUGUUUGAUUAAAAAAAUGUUAUGACAUUCAAAUUGCUUAUCAUGACUAGAUAAUAUCACGUUAACCCGCUGUUUCUUCUUACCCCAUCCGUUUUAACUUGGCCCGGUGUGCCUUAUUUUUGAAUGCAUUAACAACGCCAAUCUUAUGUAUUUUGCGUCCACUUUUUGUUGUUUGAGACUCAACAGCCCACAUAACCCUAAGGUAUCAUAACUUUAAUAUUUUGUAUGGACAAAAGUCUUCAACAGAUCAGAGGCAGACCUUUUACAAAUGAGUCAUGCGCGCUCAGUAUAGUCGACUCAUACUUUUUGGCAAAUAUCCAUGUGGAUGUGGUUUGACAUGCAAAGGAUGUGCAACAAAUAACCGCCAUUUCAGGCAAAUUAGCACAUGAAUGAUAUGUGCUGCAAAUGGUAUGAGUCACAGGUGUAUGGCGCUUCCUCAAAUGUAUGAGUCGCACAAAUGGGAAGUAUUUGUUUACCUCCAUUGCAAAUAUCUAUGUGCCGGACAAAUGGUAGAAAUGUAGACUUCUAUGAUUUAUGACUUUCGGCAGACUGUAGUGGGCUGGGCACAUGAAACGAAUGCCAAACAAAUUUAAACUCGUUGUAAAGACUUUUACAUUCGUUUCUCACUAAAUGGUUUCAAAUUUAUUAAUAGAAGGGGGACUUUUUCUAGCGGAGUUUAGGUUCAUCAGAUUUGCGUAAUACCACAUCAUAUGGGAAAAGUGGAAAACUACUAAAAUCGAAUUUAUUUUAAUUUUCCCCGAUGAAAGAUUUUUUAACCUCCAGAAUCUUAAUAUAUACAGCUAAGGCUAACUUAUAAUGAAAAAAUAUUUUAGGUUCAUGAAAGUGCGAUAAUAAUCCUGUUUCAACACACCGUGCAGCGUAGUUUAUUGGUUGCAUACGAGUCAAAGUCUAGUAAUUGUAAUAUUUUGUUAGAAUAACAGAACUAAUAACUAUAGCUCAUGCGUUACCAGAAAAUUUCGCUGAGUGUCUUUUCUGUGACAUGUGUGCGGCUUAGGAUGGCUAUUGACUAGAAAAAAAAUCAUUAAUUUUGAGCUGUCGAACGAUGGGGUUGCAGGGAAUUCUGAAACUAUAUUUUUUGGAUCCCUACCGGAACCGGUUCCGGAACAUCCGCAAGUGGCCAAAACCAUUUUUGUUCAUUGGCGCUGACUAUUGACUUCUAGAUGAAAAAUCAUGAAUCUAAAUUUCUAAAUCUGAAAUUCGGAAACUGUCCUGUUUAGGUCUCUAUCGGAACCGUUUCCGGAACAUCCGGAAGCUGCCAGAACUAUUUUUGAUCAUUGAUGCUAUGACUAUAGGCUUGUAGAUGAAAAAUCAUGAAUUUUAAGCCAGAAGAGAAUGUUACGUGAAAUUCAGAAACUGUCCUUGUUGGGUCCCUACCGGAACCGUUUUCGGAACAUCCGGAAGUGGCCAGAUGCAUUGUGGACCAUCGGCGCUAUGCCUUUUGACAUUGAGAUGCAAAAUCAUGAAUUUUGAGCCGUCGAACGAUGGGGUUACGUGAAAUUCCGAAAGUGUCCUAUUUGGAUCCCUACCGGAACCGGUUCCGAAACAGCCGGAAAUGGCCAUUUUUGAUUAUUGGCGUUAUGACCAGACGCUUCUGGAUAAAAAAAAUCAUGAAUUUAUAGCCGUCGAACGAUGUGAUUCCGUGAAGUUCAGAAUCUGUCCCCUUUGGAUCCCUACCGGAACCGAUUCCGGAAUAUCCGGAAGUGGUCAGAUUCAUUGCAGAGGAUGAUAUCAAAUUCAUAACAACAGAAUUACAUAGCCUGUUUUUAUAUCAUAAUUUGUUAUUAUUAACUUAUCACAGUAUUACUUUUUUAUAACAUAUUUUGUUGGGCAAUCUUAUUUUGUUAUGAUCAAAUUAUUGAGAUUCAUCCACUCAAUAACAUUUCAAUAAUAUACUUUGUUGUAGAACAUGUUUUGAUAUUUUCAUACUAUUGAAAAUGUACAAAUGUGACGAACUAUAACACAACAAUAACAAGUUUUCAAAUUCACUGCAAGAUUCAUUGUUAUUAAGUUGUUAUUGAAUCCAACAAAACAUGUUGUUAAGUUGGUUCCUCCAGGGCUUCAUCUAGAAACUAGAAAAUGCACUUGGAAUCCGCAUUUUUUUUUCAGAAAUUCCUCCCGGGAUUCAUUUAAGAAUUUGUACCAGUAGUGCUCCCGGGAUUCCUCUAAGAAAUCCUUCGGGGUUCUUCCAGGAACCUCCCGCGUUCCCUACAGGAAUUCCUGCUGAGAUUCCUCUUGGAAUUUCUCCUGGGAUUCUUCUAAGAUUUUCUCUUAACAUUCCCCUAGGAAUUCUUACAGGAAUUCCAUCUGGGAUUGCUCUAGGAAUGCCUCUCGGGAUUCUUCUAGGAAUUUCUCCCGAGAUUUUUCUAAAAUAUAAACUGUACAUAACAAUUUCAUCACUCAAUUAUGUAUCCGUAAGCCUGUCAAUUCUAUAGUGUCUAUAUAUUUUAGCCCCAUGCCUGCCAAAAACUUUGCCGUAGACACCAUCUCUGUAAAUAAUAAGUAUUCCGAUGUACAACAGAUAUAAAAUGUAAAAAAUGUUCAUUAGCACCAGCCUAUGUCAAAGUUCCGAAUCAAAUAAAUAUUUGGCCUCCCGAACAACACUAACUUUCUAAGUAAUCGGAAUCCUGAGAUAUAUGAGAUACAAAAUUUGUAUACUCACUAGCGCCCCUUCACCAAUCAAACAACUUUGCCGAAGACACCAACUUUAUAAGUAAUCAGGAUCUUGCGAUAUAUGAGAUGUUAUUUUAUCAAUGAUAUGUCUGUUUGUCUGUGAUGUCUCUUUGAGUUCAUUCAAAUAAUACGUAACGCAAAAUUUGACAAUUUCAGAACUCCUCCCUACUCCACGUCUUGUCCGCUUGCUUUGGUACGUUACAUCCCAUUGAUUGGGGGCGUUUUGGAAUGCUCUCUAGCGCCAACUAUCGGAUAUUUCCUAAAAUUAAUUGUUCAACACUAGAUAGACCUUGACUUACCGAACAUCUUUUCAGAAAACAUCAACCUUUCAAAAAGUAAGGAUCACGAGAUACGCGAGAAUAUAUGUUGGGGUCCAAUGGACCCCAGGGUCCCAAAACAGACCUUUUUUUAAGGUAUCCUUUUGAGGGUUAACGAAGCAAAUAAUACCAAUUUUGUUGAUGUUUCUGGUUGAAGAUAAAAAAUAGGGUUCUGUAAACUAGAUGAUUAAAAUUUGAAGUUGCACAAAGUGGUCAAAAAAUGUAGCAUAGUAGAAAAGAAAAAAAUCUUACAGAUAAAAUAUUUAAUUUCCAAACACAAUACAUAAAAUGCUGUAUCGAUAAUAAAAGAUAUUUCUCGAUUGGUACGAGUUAUUUUUACUGGAAUUUUAGAUCAAGAACCACCAUUACGGGCCUUCUCAAUAUUUUUUUUUUGUUUCUAAUUUCUCAACAACACCAGUAGCAACAAACGUUAAGCAAACGAAUAUCUUAAUUAUUGCUUACUGCAUUUGUUUUUAUGGUAUGUCAAGCUUUGCCAUCUGAAGGAUCGAAGGAGCUGAAAAAAUAAGUUUGAUUAGAUUAAAUGCGUUCAGGAAAGCUAAGAAACUGUGUGGUAGUUCUUAUGUUCCGUAGAAAACCUUAAAAACUAAGAAACUUGAUCUCCGAAAAAUGUUGUGGAAAUGCCUUUAUCGAUUUUUCCCAAAUUUUGAUCAAGGCAUUCCUUCCCGAGCAGAAAAAAAUAUCAACAGCAUAAUUGGAUUUGUUAUUUUGGCAUAAUAACUGUAUAAUGGAAUCAGUAUUUUUUUAUGUUAUUAACAUGUUUACUAUAAGAGCUAGGAGACACUUUUUUGGAUAUUGUGCUCAAAUUGAAAUGGCAGUUAAUCGUUAAUGUAUUUAUAAUUUCUGAAAGAGUCUAUAUUUCUUCAAAAGUCCCUGUUGGAUACCACACCCACCCCCCGGAUUUUUCCAUCCUAAAUCCGGAAAAACGGUGAACUCAUUUGUGAUUUUCUGUAAAAUUUUCAUCAAAAUCGAAUGAAAUUUGACAACUCAUUUUCAAAAUACUGGCAUUUCGUCAAUUUUUAUCCGAUUUUUUUUAAGUCGCUCUCAAUCGGUCAUAAAUUGGUGCUAGGUUAUUAUUCUCAAGUGGCCAUGCAAUAUUCGGAACCAUUCCGGGGAUAUUCCAGAUUGUGCUGAGGUCAGGGGGUUGCCAAAUGGCUAAAAGUUGUUGUGUUUCAACCAUAGAUUUUCAGCGAAAUUUUUGUUGCGAACAGUGAAAUACAACUGCGAUAAGCAGAUUCGAAUUAGUUGACCCAUCCGGAUCACCGUGACAGGUUCCGCGAGGCCUCAUUGGGGACUUUUCUAGUUUUCAACCUAAACAUGCCGUGUGACAUAUCAACCUUCAUGAUUUCGAAUGACUGAGUCAGAAACGAUAUAUUGAAGUCGAUAUGAACUAAUAUGACCACCCCGGAACAUCUAGCACAGGUUCCACGGGGGUGUCUCGGAGACAUUUCUGGUUUGCAAGCAAAACAUACCAUGCAACGUAAUAUUUUUCAUAAUUUCGAGAAAAUCGGGCAGAAACAAUUGACUGAAGUAUGUACCAACUGAUGUGGCCUCGAGAGGAGUUUUUCUUCGGCAUACACUGGGAUAGUUUUCGUGAGGGCCGAUCAACGACGGAUCAUAUGUUUAACCUGCUGAUGAUCCUAGACAUCGUAAAGUAUAACUUGCGGAAUCGGAUCGCAGUUGAAGUGUCGUUUGAAACCAUAGAUAGACUAAAACAGAGUGAUACAUUUUUAAACUGUUCAACACUGUGCUCGAAUUCAGUGGCGAUUACCAAACCUCAAAUCUACAUGUUCAACGAAUCUUAAUUCUUGAAUUUUCUCAACAAAUUAGCUUGUAAUUUGUAGAAAAUGACGAAAAUAAUCAUUUCCAUCCAUUUUCAGUUUGAUUCUGAUCCUGAAUACUCCACAAAUGCAAGUUUUAGGGUCGUUGAACAGGUAAAAAGUGAGGUUACGAGACGCCACUGCUCAAAUUAGUGAUUAGGAGGCGUACAGACGAAUGGUACUAUCAUCACACGAUCAUACAUGGUCCUCGGUUUUGCGGACGAUAUUGAUCUCAUCGGCAUCGUAGGUAGGCCAGUUCUCUGAAGAGGGAGACCCCACAAGAAUAGGCUUGACGAUUCACUCAACCAAGACGAAGUACAUAUGUACGUGAUUUGGGGUAGAGGCAGCAGAGGCAGAAAAAAACCUGGCAACUCCACAUAUUCGGGAAAACUGGAAAAACAUGGCCCAAGACCGACGAAGCUUCGCCUUUCAUUUUACUUUUGCAUCGCGAGCACAAAUCUGGAAAUACAUUGAAAGUAAUUAUCUGGAAAUGCUACUCGUUGUUUGCUUACUCGUAAAAAAACAUUGAGUAGCGAUUUCAAAUCAAUGUCUGCUUGUUGAAUCUCCAGAUAUGCGCUAGAGAAAAUGCGAGACAAACUAUAUUAUUCAGAAAGUGAACACAUUUUAUCUUCAUACCUUAAGACUCCUCUGGCGAACUGCGGUUGGCGUAUGCCGUUUACCGAAACCGAAGGAUCGAACGUUUGAAGUGUGAGAAAUUGCUUAAUCCGUUGCCGAAAUUGCGCUUGGCAUGAUUAUUUAUCGAAAUAUUUCAACGACGCCGAUGACGACAACGACGACGACAACGAAGUGUUGUAAAUGCGUUCGGGUGAGGUCCGUCCGAGGGUCCGUUGAGAAGCCAACAAAGUGGCGCGGGCCGGGCCGCACAAUCGCCUCUCGAAAGUGCUCAUUACCGGGUGGCGUUGCUCGGUGCAUACAGUUUUAAACAACCGAUCGAUGAUGGUUGGCAUGUGGGUGGACAUUUGUGGUAGUCUGCAUAUUAAGACACACAACUUAUGACCACACAUUAGCGGCCGAACGACCUAGUAGACCCAUCUUGUGGUGGAGAGUUCUUUUCAACGGGACGAGGAAGCACAAAAUGUCGAACGUUUUAACAAUUUGCGGCGUGACGAGUGUGCCGCAGCGCGCGUCUGGUGAAGGUCUGCUGGGGCCUUGAAUUGAAUGAGAAUGGCUGGUUGUUGAUGGUAAUAAAAGCGCCACUUUGUGGAUGACAAGUUAUGUCACUUCUGUUUUUAAUGUGACGACAGAUUUUGCUGGUAAUUUUUCAACAUUAGAGUGCUUUGAACCAGGGUUGUACAUGGGAUCGUGAUCGUUGAAUUUGUUUUAGAAAUGGAAAGGCCGUUGCUGAAGCACCUACAGUUAAAUCUUAAGUCAUGUAAGUGUUUCAUUUUAUAUAAACAUCUAGGUGGAUGCAAAAUUCCAAAAAAAAAUGCGAUAUCGUUAAGAUGGGGUUCGAUCACACAACUAGAAGAAUCUGGAUGGCGCGUUAACCGGACACGCCACAGAACAUGUAAUACAUAGUAAAAGUGUUCUUAUGCAUUACCAUCACAUUUUAUUUACCGGUAAAGUAGAUUUGUUAAUCCAUCUUCUUUCUGAUAUUACAUCUGGAGCAGGGCAUGCUCCUCAACUUGAUGUUCUAAUCAAUAAUUCCACAGUUAUUACCUGAAAACAUUAUUGCCACUUGACAGUUUUUGUAUUCAUAUGCAUAUCGUUUAACAUGAAUCGUUGUGUCCCAUUAUCUGGGAAGGCAACAACAUAUUUACUUAAAAAACUGAAGCGUACAAGUAAUUGAACGCAGAUAUGUACCUUCAAAAUAGCAAAACCUGCGUGUUAUUCAUUUAAUACUAGGAAGGCCUCAUAACCUAUUAUAAAGGUAAAAAAAACAUUUCACCAAAUGACUCAAGAUCACCCAUUGCGCAUGCCUCGGUAGAAGGUCGUCCCAAAAUUACCUUUUUCCUUCCACAAUCGUUCAUUUUCCACCCAGUUUUUGCGUGAACAUAUCCAGCAAUUAUUCCAAGGGUCAAACCAAACCAAACUUAACCACGGUGUUCUUGGUAAUCACCUUGCACUGCAUCCAUGGCUGAUCACCGGUUACUUUGGCGCAUCUGUAUGAACGAACAUGGACCACCUUUGACGCAGCUGAGUACUACUGAUUGAUUUCGACAAUUACAAUCAGCAGAUGAGAAGAGUGCGCAAGUGAUUCAAGUUCACCGCCGAAUUAAACCAAAGCACUCGCGCUCCCCAUGCAAUAAAGCGCGCGGUCAGCAUGUGGUCAACUCUACGCUGUGGUGCAGCUAUUGGUUUGAAUUCUCGGCGCUACCGCGGUGCCGCGAGGUAACCAAUCUAACCUUUUGACCAAAUUGGACCUUUUUCGUUGUGGUCGCGCACAUACAUGCACAUACGGCGCUAAAGCGCAAACAUUCCGGCGAUGUGACGCGACUCAUUGCCAUCAUCAUAUAUGUGCCUACAUUCGUUGAGUAGUAGAGUUGACCAAUGACCAACGACGACGACCAUCUUUCGGUGUGGUUGUCGAUGGCAGGUCGCGCGCGUCAAGACAGCUGAAGUCUGUCGGCGAUGGAUCAUCUCAAGAGGCGGCCGUCACUUAGCAGCGAUCACAUUAGAAGAAAGAUACAAUCUGCCUACGAUGACGACGACGAGUCCACGGUCCGAGAGUUGUAGGUAACCACGCGACAACUUCGUUGGUUGUGUUCAAGAUCUACGCGAGUUCAACACUCGUCUCGAUGAUAAUUACGAUUGUUUGCCUACAAUCCUACAUCGCUCCGGCGGCGAUGCGGUGAGUGUUGUGCAGGUGGAUCGGAGUGUUUGGGUUGGCAGAAAAAAAAAGUGUAAUUCAACCAAAUUACAACCUGUUCAAUGGCUUUGCAAAAGAAGGUGUUGAGUGUGGCGUCAAGUGUCGGCGAGGGGUAAAUACGGCGGCUUUGAUGGAUUUUCGGUUUUGUUUUAAUUUGACUGGCGUUAUGCAAAUAGAAGUUUACACUUUCGGUAAUUGACAUCAAAGUUGGAGGAUUGAGUUGUUUAAGUUGUGCGUGAAAUGCUUGAAAAGUUUGUGAACAUGCGAUUUCAACUUUGGUACUGUGGAUUCAAUCUCAAUCUGACAUUGUUUUCGCGGAAAUGUUGUUUGCAUCAAUAUAACGUGACCAGCCCAUUGUACCCUUCUAUUGUUAGCGAGUUUCAAUGGGCUGGUCACGAGAAAAAUUCGAUCGUUUAGUAGCAGUAGGUGAUGUGAUGUAUAUUAACACAUUCACGUUGUAAAUAUGAGAGUUACAAUAUGGUGUCUUUGGUAAAAACUGUAUGAAAAAACACAAACCCACAAGUUUGCCGAAAACCAUAUUUUGAUAUUAGGCAUCUGAACAAAGUUGUAGAUGAAUGAGUCAAACGAUUGCCAGGUGAUUGGAAACAUCCUUGCUCUAACCUUCACGUAUCCGACCCACACUGGGGCAGGAUUGAAAAUACAUGGAAAAAACCUCUAGCUCGUCGAGAUGUCGAGAUCGACACUUGGUGUCUUCAGAGAAAAUAUUUCUAUGAACAAGGUCGAUAUUCUGAACGGUAGCAUAUUUUUCUUGCGUUAUUCGCAUAGAAGUCCUAUAAGUCAUUUUGGCCAUCUUUCAUUGUAGCGGUAUGGUGUCUUCGGCAAAGUUGUUCGGCUAUUUAUGCUUAAAAAGUUUGCCAAAGACGUCAAAUUUCCAAAGCCUACUGUUCUUGAGAUAUUAUUGCUAAUUUAGAGAAAACUUUCCAUUUUACGGUAGAACGAAAAGCUACCGCAGCUGUCAGACUACUGAUUUUCACUGAGGUAUCAUCGAUCUACCUUAGCGAGCCCUAGCGAUGCCUUUGAUAGCCUUGGAUACGACGCCGAUGAUCAUUGUUUGUUAUUGGUUUUCAGUUCAAUUCACCUUGCAAGCAUGCUUUGAUUUGGGUUUCAGUUUCAAUGAUAGGAUGAUUUUCAAGCCUGCGGUAGGACUUUGACAGCUGCGGUAGAACUCGGCGGCUACCGCAGAGUGGAAUUUUUUCUAAAAAUCCGCAAUAAUCGUUUUAUAAAAUACCUAUUUAAAAUCGAAUUUUUUCAUUAAAUUACGUUUGUAAACAAAUUUAAUGUCCGUUUUCAAGUUAUAAUAAUGAAAAAUACUAAAAUAAAACAUAUAUCGAAGAAAUCAGUUGGAAAAAAACAAUAUAUGCAUUGAUUUUUUAUAGAAAGUUCAUGAAAAUCACGCAAAAUGUAUAUAGGACGUUCUUGCAGUCGGGCAAGUUCGGGCAAGUUUUUUCAUCGGCGAUCACCUAAAAAAUACAUAAGCUUUCAUGUAAAUUUUUUUCACCGACAUGAUAUUUGAUGAUUUUUUUAAAAUAGCGUUCAAAGUAUACUGUUUUGUGUGAAUUAGUACAACAUUUUUGCAGAUAUUUAACCAUGUUGUAUGAUGCCAAGUGAACCAAGAGAAGUAUAAAUGCAAUCUAGUCACAGGUUUAGUUAUUUUUAAGCUUCAAACAAAUUGUAAAACACAAAAAUGUCCGAAACGCCAAUAAAAGUGAGUUUUUAGAUCACUGAACACACAAAAAAUAUGUCUAAUCAAUAAGAUUAUAUAAGAUAAUGAUUAAACCAAGGCUAAAUGGCGCGUUUAGGACAUUUUUGUGUUUUACAAUUUGUUUGAAGCUUAAAAAUAGCUAAACCUGUGACUAGAUUGCAUUUAUACUUCUCAUGGUUCACUUGGCAACAUACAACAUGGUAAAAUAUCUGCAAAAAUGUUGUACUAAUUCACACAAAACAAUAAACUUUGAACGCUAUUUAAAAAAAAUCAUCGAAUAUCAUGUCGGUGAAAAAAAUUUACAUGAAAGCUUAUGUAUUUUUUAGGUGAUCGCCGAUGAAAAAACUUGCCCGAACUUGCCCGACUGCAAGAACGUCCUAUAUACAUUUUGCGUGAUUUUCAGGAACUUUCUAUAAAAAAUCAAUGCAUAUUUUGUUUUUUCCAACUAAUUUCUUUAAUAUAUGUUUUAUUUUAAUAUUUGUCAUUAUUAUAACUCGAAAACGGGCAUUAAAUUCGUUUACAAACGUAAUUUAAUGAAAAAACUUGAUUUUAGAUAGGUAUUUUAUAAGACGAUUAAUAUCUCAAGAACAGUAGGCUUUGGAAAUUUGACGUCUUCGGCAAACUUUUUUAGCAUAAAUAGCCGAACAACUUUGCCGAAGACACCAUACCGCUAAAAUGAAAGAUGGCCCAAAUGACUUAUAGGACUUUUAUGCGAAUAACGUAAGAAAAAUAUGCUACCGUUCAGAAUAUCGACCUUGUUCAUAGGAAUAUUUUCUCUGAAGACACCAAGUGUCGAUCUCGACAUCUCGACGAGCUAGAGGUUUUUUCCAUGUAUUUUCAAUCCUGCCCCAGUGUGCGACCCCCGGCAACUCAUUUUCAAAAUGAUGCCAUUUCUUCAAUUUUCAUCCGAUUGUUUUAAGUCACCCUCAAUUGAUCAUAAAUUGGUGCUAGUUUAUUAUAGUCAAGUGGCCAUGCACUAUCCGGAACCAUUCCGGGAAUAUUCCGGAUUGUUCAGGGGUCAGGGGGUUGCAAAAUGACUAAAAGUGAUUUUUCGUUUGUUAUUGUGUUUGAACCAUCGAUUUUCAGCAGAACUUUUGUUGCAAACAGUGAAACACAACUGCUAUAACCAGAUUUGAAUAAGUUGACCCAUCCGGAUCCCCGUGACAGGUUCCACGGGGCUUCAUUGGGGACACUUCUGGUUUUCAAUCUAAACAUGCCGUGCGACAUAUGUAUCAAUCUUCAUGAUUUCAAAGGACUGAGUCAGAAACGAUAGAUUGAAGUCUGUAUCAAAUAAUAUGGCCACCCCGGAACAUCUGGCACAGGUUUCACUGUCAUCGGGGACAUUUCUCUUUUGCAACCAAAACAUGCUGUGCGAUGUGUUAAUCUUCAUGACUUCGAGAGAAUGGGGCAGAAAAAAAUGACAGAAGUAUGCAUCAACUGAUAUGGCCGCUCCGGAACACCUGGAACGGGUUCCGCGGGGGCCUUUCAAACACAAUAAAACACGACCCGAGCAGAGAAGAAUAGCAAAUUGAUAAUAACAUAAUCACAUAGAUUGAUUUUAUAUCAUAAAUUGUUAUUGUUAAUUUAUCAUAAGGCUGAUACAAAUUUAAUUUUGACUUUUUGUCUCCCCCCCCUUCAAAAAUUUUUGGCUGAAAUUUGCAUUUUGAGGGCGCAGAUAAAAAAAUAUUUAUCAAAAUAUCGGGUCUUGCUAAAAAUUCUUUAACAAAUCCGAUGGGUUUUUAAUAUUUUUCAAAUUAAAUGCUUUAUUAUUUUUAUCCCCCCCCCUCGACCAGUCAAAGAGUGGUCGGACAAAAAGUGAAAUAAAUAUUUGUAACGGCCUAAUAUAUCGUUUUAAUAACAUGUUUUGUUAGGCAAUCUUAAUUUGUUAUGUUCAAGCUAUUGGGGUAUAUCAUAUCCACAAGAUAACAUUUCGAUAAUAUAUUUUAUUGUAGAACAAAUUUAGUUAUUAUUCUACUAUAGAAAAUGUGCAAAUAUGUGUGACGAACAAUAACACAACAAUUUCCUGUUAUUAAGUUGUAAUUGAUCUAACUAAACAUGUUAUUGAAUUAGCCAUCCAGGAACAUUUUUUUGUAAUGAUAUUUGUUAUUUUGCCGCUUAUGACAGACAAGUUUAUAACAUAAUAUGUUAUGCUUAUAACAUAAAAAUUACUUAUUCCAUUAUUUUCAGUUAUUAAGCCAAAAUAACAUAUUUUAUUAUGCUGUUGAUAUUUUCUUUUGCUCGGGGAAAUAAUCACUUUUAGCCAUUUAUAAAAAUAAACUUGCACCAAUUUAUGAUCGAUUGAGGGCGACUUCAAAAAAAAUCGGAUGAAAAUUGACGAAAUGCCAGCAUUUCGAAAAUGAGUUGUCGGGGAUCGGGUACGUGAAGGUUAAUAUGUGCUCAUAGAACAGCUGAGAAGCAGGCUUUGUACCAGUUAGAACUUUACUCCAAGAAGAAGUAGACUAUUGCGUAGAACUCCAUGGUAUUCCGUGAUAUUUCAAUGUAAUCUGUCGUACUUCGUAGUCCAAAGCAGGCUGCAAAACUCCAUUGCAAGAGACGAACCAGCCAAGGGCUGAAAGUCUCUUUAAUAAAGACAAAUCAAUCAAUCAACUCCAUUGCAAAUGUGACGAAUAACGUAUAUACCCAGACAGAAAAGAAUUACAAAACAAUUGCAAGUUUUACCAUUCAAAAAGAAUUAUUGAAUGGUAAAAUUUGCCAUUGGUUUGUUUGAAAUAAGUGACAAAAGGGCAAAAAUAAUAACUGACAUUGUUCUAUGAAAUAACUGAAGAAUGUCAAGUUUUGACUUUACAAUGGCAAACCAAGAACAAAAAAAUUAAUGGUUGAGAAUUGCAAAAUAUACCAUUAUUGAGUUAUUGAAAACAGAACAAUAUCAAAAUUAGUUAUUCGCCUGUUAACUAAAAAAAACUAUCAAAAGUUACCAUUAGAAUAACCAAAGUUCAAAUUUUGUCAUUUAUGUUGUUCUUGAUAAGUGCCAAACUGCGAUGGUUCAUCAAACUCGUAAGAGGUCAUCAAUAUCUCACCAACUGCAAAAUUUGUUAUGAUAGCAAAAUAAGACAUUCAGUAGUUAUUCUUCCAAAUUUGAUAAACGACAAGCGAAUGGCAUAUUUUGAUAUGAUAUCAUAUUAUGCUAUUCACAUGUUGUUUUAAGCUCUUCAUGAAGAACUCAGGAAUGACAAAAUAAGUUAUGACAAUAAAACUUGUUAUUCUUUUGUUUUUGGUUUGCCAUUCGCCUCUACCCGGGUAGAAGGGGUACUACAAGACCACGCGGACAAUUCGAUUAAAGGCUUAAUUGGGAAUAAUAUAUUUUCCAGAACUGAAGGGACAUUUUUUCCGGGGUGACUGGCGAGUCGGAGAGUGUAGAAGUUUCCAUUUGUUGAACAAAAUAAACAAUCGGGCGCUUUUUCUUUCUAUGACUUGUUUGGCAUUUUGUGGAUUAUUGUUUUUUGGUUUUGGAAGGUAUGCGAUUCACUAUUGAGCUUUAAAAUUAUUUUGCAUCUGAAUAGCAUUGAUAUUGUCAAGUCUGUACCAACACCCUAAUCCCACACCAAAAUACCCUUCUCCUAUCCCAUGGCGUUUAUGUGGUCAGCAAAGACUAUUCAGCCAUUACCCCUCCUUAUCAUCGGCUUUGGACUGACUUGCGCUCUCAUUGCCCCACCAAAUGCUGCAAAAUGAAAAUGAAAUAAAAUUGAAGUUCAUCUCUCUCUCUCUUCUUGGCGUAACAUCCUCAUUGGGACAAAGCCUGCUUCUCAGCUUAGUGUUCUAUGAGCACUUCCACAGUUAUUAACUGAGAGCUUCCUCUGCCAAUGACCAUUUUGCAUGCGUAUAUCGUGUGGCAGGCACGAAGAUACUCUAUGCCCAAGGAAGUCAAGGAAAUUUCCUUUACGAAAAGAUCCUGGACCGACCGGGAAUCGAACCCGUCACCCUCAGCAUGGUCAUGCUGAAUACCCGUGCGUUUACCGCCUCGGCUAUAUGGGCCGAAUCAAUCGGUUCGAAAUUGACUGAGUUAUAGCAGCAAGUGCCCAAAAUAGGUGCUCCUGCCCAAAUGGUCCCAGACCCUAU